GAGCAGGAGAAUGAAACUCCAUCGUUUAGGUUUCUCUAGUUCUCAAUCGCUUUCGACGUUACUGGGCUGUUUUAAUGUUAUAUUGGUAUGUAUAUUAAUGUUAUAAAUGCAUGUCUUUCCGUUAAAGUUAAGUGUUUUAUGUAUAUAUUUUUAGAAUUGAUCUAAUAUUAUUUUAUGUACAUGUUUUAUUGAUUUGCAUUUAUGGAAGUCUGGAUCUUAAUAUUUUGGAUAUUAAGUACGUUCGUUUUAGGACUCGGAAUCUUAAUUAUUAAGAUCAUUAUAAUGAAGUGUGUUUAUUUUUUUUAAUUCACAAUCACUUAAUGAGUCUGAAUAUGUGUGCAUGAUUAAGUUUAUAAUAUAGACUUAAUUUCAUUAAGAUGUUAUCAUUCAUUUUCAUUAUUAAUUGUUGGCACUGCUAACCCUUAUCAAUUACCACCAUACCACCACUACUACCUUACUCAACCAUCGCCACCACCAUCAUCCUCAAUCAUAGUCGCCACUAUUGUCGACUGUCCCCACCCACUACUCCCAUAACCAUCAUUAUCAACCACAACCAACACUCAUCCACCACAACUAACCACACCAUUACAUUAACAACCAUAGCUGGAAUUGUCCAUCAUUAUAAACUAUCACCACCUUCCUUAAUCACAACUGCCACCACCACUCGUUAUUAUUAGCUAUUACCCACUAUUACCAUCCUUAAUAAUAAUCACCGCUACUAUCAAUCACCACUAGCUACUAGCCUUCACCAACCACCACCUCUAGUCGGCAUUCACAAGCAUCAUCGUGAGCCUUGACCACCAGACACCAGCAACUACCAUCUUUUAAAAAAUUAUAUAUUUUAUUGAUAGAAUAUUAGAUUAAUUAGUAUUUCAUUUGAAUUUUAUGUUUAUUAAUUUUAAAUAAAAAUAAAUUUUAUAUAUUUAGAUGUCAAAAAAUCUUAAACAUUUAGUAUUUAUAUUCAGACGUCUUAAUCGUAUAAUCAAAUAAAUGAGGCCUAAAUAAUACACUUGGUUUAGUGCUAAGUUAUUUAUCCGAAAGAUAUAAGGAUCUAUUAGAUUGUGGUCAUAAAAGCUUGACACCAAGGACAAAGUUAGAAGUGUAAGUUAAUUACAAAGAAACGAUUCUUUCUAAAGAAAUAAAAACUGAAAUAGCAUCACAUAAACUUAAAUAAUACAAGUGCUACAGAAUAAUCUCAAAUCAAUUCGUCCAAAACCAAAUCCAAACACCUUUGAAGAAAAAACACACUUAAAAACAAGAACCAACACAAAACCAAACUCUCCUCAAGCUUGAUCUACUUAGCUGUUUCUUCUUUUGGACACACGUGGCGUGCACACAAAUUAAAAUUACCUGUAUAAAUCAUGGAUAUUUAUUUGAUGGUUCUGGUGGUGGUGGUGGUGGUAGCUGACGCGGAGGAGGGGGACUCCAAUGAAUAAUCAAAUUAGGCUUUGGUGGUGGUGGUGUGCUUCCCUUUUUCCUGUUUGAACUUCUGAGCUCUCCAGCAACUUUGAGUUGAGAAAAUAAUUCGUUGUUGGAAUAAUAUUGUAGGGAUCUUGCUUCCACACAAAGGCUUGAACUAAUGAGUAAGGAUAUUAGUAAACAUGAAAUUAAAUAUCGCCUCAUUGUCAGAUUCUGAAGAAUGGAAUCAAUGAGUUUUCUUGAAAACUAAGUGAGAAUUAUGCAUAGUUGAGAAGACAAGCAAUUUAGAGGAAUUUCCCCUUAGCUCACUUGUAGUGUUUAAACAUUUUAGUUAUUACAACUUGGGAAUAUUUUUGUUUGCAUUUUUGUUUGUUUUCCUGUGGAUCUUCUGAGAUCGUCAAAAUAACUCGUUAUUAAUUCUUUCUUGUUUUCCUGUGGAUCUUUUGCGUUUGACUUUUGUUUUACAUAUAGUCAAACUUAAUCUUAUUUUAUCAUUGUUCAUUUCACACUUCCGUAAUAACAAAAUACAUAAGUUGCUGCCUGAGAUAUGGACCAAAUUCUUCUUACACACUUUUUGACAGCAAAAAUUAUCUUAUAUAUUCAACCAUUCAAAAGUAUGUCAAAUAUACACCGUUUUUAACCAGGACAAAUAAAAACUCUAUCUGUGUAAUGCACGCAUUUGACUAUAGCUUAUUUAUAAUUAUUAAACCCGGCCCACUUGUUUCUAACUUAACCCUUAUAUUUAAUUUAACCCGACUCAUCCGUGUCUUUUCUUCCCCACCCCCAUGUUUCCCAUCCUUUCACAUCUCUAUCAUUUUUUCUUCUUCAAUUAGGACCCCUAAAUAUCAUGCUACUAUUAAAAGAAUAUCAUAAUAAUGGCUGAAAAUGGAUAUGGAGAUUUUGAUUUGGUACUUUUGAUUUUGAUUUGGUAAUUUGUGAUUGGUUUGCUAAUGUCGGUGGUGUUUGGGCUAAAGAAGCUACUAGUUAGAAUUUUUCUUCUGGUAAAAUUAUGCAAUGAUUCCUUCUCUAAAAAUCGGCAGCCAUGGCAGAUAGAACUCAAAAGAAAAUACUCAUCAAAAAAAUUUGGUGACAUACCCAAACUUUUCACAGGCUGGAGUUUCAAUUUCCGACCAGCAAAAGAAGAAAUAGAAGAGGGUCUCACUGAAAAUCCAUGGCAUUGGAAGCACGAGUGAAAAUGUGAAAGACCGAGGCGCUUAGGAGUCAAUCUCUUGCUCAA
rnacentral:lncRNA from 1 species